GACGAACGCUGGCGGCGUGCUUAACACAUGCAAGUCGAACGAAGUGGCGAACGGGUGAGUAACGCGUAAUCAACCUGCCCUUCAGAGGGGGACAACAGUUGGAAACGACUGCUAAUACCGCAUACUGAAGGAGGGGAUUGCGUCUGGUUAGCUAGUGGGAGGGGUAAAGGCCCACCAAGGCGAUGAUCAGUAGCCGGUCUGAGAGGAUGAACGGGCAAAUUGGGAAUGAGAGACGGCCCAGAAUCCUACGGGAGGCAGCAGGGGGGAAUCUUCCGAAAUGGACGAAAGGCGGACGGAGCAACGCCGCGUGCGUGAUGAGGGCCUUCGGGUUGUAAAGCUCUGUUAAUCGGGACGCGGUACCGGAAUAGAAAGCCACGGCUAACUACGUGCCAGCAGCCGCGGUAAUAC
rnacentral:rRNA from 1 species